rnacentral:lncRNA from 1 species
GCACACACAGGGCUGUGCCCCCUUCUACACAUGAACUAACUGAGAAGAAACAUCACUUCCCAAUAUAACUGUUACGCUAUAAAUUAACAUUCACGUCAUGGCCAAAUCCUCAUAGCAGUUGUGCUGUACAGAGAAGCUGCUUUCCAGAGCCACGGGGGCACAGCCUGAGCAGUUUGUGGAGAAGGGGACCAAGGCCUCUCAGCCUAUGCUGGGCUCCAGGGCCAGAAAAGCACAAACUGUCUGACUCCAGGAGCUGGGAUUUUAAGAAAAGCUGCCAGCAGUUGCACAGAUACUGAGGAAAAUGGUGGCACGUAAUGACCAGGGCCACUGUGACUGAAUAUGAGAGGAGAGCCUGCAGCAAGGCACCGCAGCAAAAACAAGGCUCCCCCAAACGAGGCUCCAUCUUGAAGAUCUACGAGUGUUCUGGUGGAGAUGCUUCUGCAAAGCCCGGCCCCAUCCUGAAUCUGAGGACAUCAGACGUCUGUGCCAGAAGUUGCUACUGGCUGUUUUUCAGCUGUCUGAUUUUACUGUAGACAUCCAUGCUGACCCGAGAGUUAUUACAUGCUACAGCUCCUGUGUGAUGUGUGCGGCAGCUGCUUGUCCAGAGUGAUCAUGCUUCAAAUUUCAGACCCCAACUAUUUCUAUGCUAUUGUCA